UACGUAGGGUGCGAGCGUUGUCCGGAAUUAUUGGGCGUAAAGGGCUCGUAGGCGGUUUGUCGCGUCGGGAGUGAAAUCCACUGGCUUAACUGGUGGCUUGCUUUCGAUACGGGCAGACUGGAGGUAUGCAGGGGAGAACGGAAUUCCUGGUGUAGCGGUGAAAUGCGCAGAUAUCAGGAGGAACACCAAUAGCGAAGGCAGCUCGCUGGGACGGUACUGACGCUGAGGCGCGAAAGCGUGGGGAGCGAACAGG
rnacentral:rRNA from 1 species